rnacentral:rRNA from 1 species
GACGAACGCUGGCGGCGUGCUUAACACAUGCAAGUCGAACGAUGAAGCUGGAGCUUGCUCCGGUGGAUUAGUGGCGAACGGGUGAGUAACACGUGAGCAAUCUGCCCUUGACUCUGGGAUAACUGCGGGAAACUGUAGCUAAUACCGGAUACGAGACCUGAAGGCAUCUUCGGGUCUGGAAAGAAUUUCGGUCAAGGAUGAGCUCGCGGCCUAUCAGCUUGUUGGUGAGGUAAUGGCUCACCAAGGCGACGACGGGUAACCGGCCGGAGAGGGUGAGCGGCAACACUGGGACUGAGACACGGCCCAGACUCCGACGGGAGGCAGCAGUGGGGAAUAUUGCACAAUGGGCGAAAGCCUGAUGCAGCAACGCCGCGUGAGGGAUGAAGGCCUUCGGGUUGUAAACCUCUUUUAGAAGGGAAGAAGCGAAAGUGACGGUACCUGCAGAAAAAGCACCGGCUAACUACGUGCCAGCAGCCGCCGUAA